GACGAACGCUGGCGGCGUGCUUAACACAUGCAAGUCGAGCGAUGAAGCUUCUUCGGAAGUGGAUUAGCGGCGGACGGGUGAGUAACACGUGGGUAACCUGCCUCAUAGAGGGGAAUAGCCUUCCGAAAGGAAGAUUAAUACCGCAUAAGAUUGUAUUAUCGCAUGAUAUAGCAAUUAAAGGAGUAAUCCGCUAUGAGAUGGACCCGCGUCGCAUUAGCUAGUUGGUGAGGUAACGGCUCACCAAGGCGACGAUGCGUAGCCGACCUGAGAGGGUGAUCGGCCACAUUGGGACUGAGACACGGCCCAGACUCCUACGGGAGGCAGCAGUGGGGAAUAUUGCACAAUGGGGGAAACCCUGAUGCAGCAACGCCGCGUGAGUGAUGACGGUCUUCGGAUUGUAAAGCUCUGUCUUCAGGGACGAUAAUGACGGUACCUGAGGAGGAAGCCACGGCUAACUACGUGCCAGCCGCCGCCGUAA
rnacentral:rRNA from 1 species